ACCCAGGUGUGUCUAACAGAUGUUCAGGAUCUCUAAUUUGCUAACUGGAGGAAAAUAAUUCCGCGUGAAUAGUUAUUUUCAUAGUUUGAGGGUGAUUUAACUGUAAGUUAAUAUAUGUGUUAAAAUAUUCUCCUAAUAUAUACCAUUUUCAGCCCUGAAUCAGCGACAAAAUCGACUCAUCAGAGGCUCAUUUUGGCGAGGUUCUGCUGAAGGAAAAAACUGAAACAAAGGCAACGAUCACAGUUAUGCUUUUUAGAAGACAUUAAUCAAUUAUUGACGGUCUCUUUUUUUUUUUUUUUUAAGCUUAAUGGACUGAGGAUUUGGUUUCAACUGAGUCUCUAUGUCCAUUAUCUGAAAAUAGGAAGAAUGUGGCACAACUGCAAACCCUCCAAGGCAUGGCUGUCAACCUCAUCUGGCAAGGAGAGCAUGAAUCAGUGAAGCAGCCAAUGAGACCGUUAUGACCUUGGAGGAGCUGCAGAGGCUCCCAGCUCAGGUGGGAGACUGUCUCAAUGGUACAGCUAAGAACAGUCACUGCUGGAUUGGAAGCUUGAGCUCAUUAAGAUGGAAAGAUGGGAACCUACAUCUGGCCAACCUGUUAAGCUGUGACACCUUCCUGGAGAGGAGCAUCGGUUGAGCUAUUGCUGCUGUUAUGUUCUCUUUCUGUAGACCGUACACUUGGUCCUGACUUUCUGGGUUUAACUUUAAUACAAAAAGCAAUAUAAUGAGCUAUUGCUGUGACUGUGUGUACUGUUGUUCAUGCCAUACACUUUAAAACUGGCUCAAAGCCGAUCUCUUUAGCUGUUUCUCUCUCUCCUAGACGAAGCCGAUAAAGAAGCUACAUCUGCUAUUAACUCUCUGCUUCCUCAUUAACAUAGAAAAAAUCUCUGGAAUAGUGCAUCUGUUUCUUUAUAUGCUCAGCCAUAUUCUGCUGGAGGUCUCUUCCUGUAAAGUGGUCUGCUUCGACUGUCACUCCAUGCAUGCUCAGUAGGAGUGAUUGCUGCAAGUUAAUGAUUUGAUGCAUUCCGUUGUCCACAGUCGCAACAUUCUCGUCCAGGAGGAGCGCUGUUUGAAAGUCAGUGAUUCAACACAAUGGGCUGAGUUUCCUUCGAUCAAAAAGUGCUUUACCAAUACAAUAUUAAACUGAACUUGACAGUAUUGUUUAUUUAGGAUCAAUUUGGAAUGUAUUAAAUUGAUUGUGAAUCUGUCUGUAUGAUUGGACUGAACUUUGUACUUAUGUAUGUAAAUUUGAUGGGUUUUUUUUUAUGAACAAUGCAUUGAGAUAUUUAUUGUGAAUCAGCACUAGCUAUAUGAACUGAAUUAAAGUUGGUUUUUCCGUUUUUCAUUUUUCGCUUCAUAGAAGUUACUUCUGGCCAGUGACCCCUUUUUGGACAGGUCUACAGGCUGCCAGAUGAAAGAUGUUUUUUUAUUUCUAGGUUUACCAUAUUUUUGUUACAUUAAAAAUUGCCAAAAGUAUGAAGUUAUUGGUAAUUGUUGAGUUAUUGUUAAUUAUUUUAUUAUCGGUUACAACACAAAGCCUACCUACAAUACAAAGUGAAGUGAGCAAAAGUAUUACAACAGUCAGGUUUUCAGUUACUAAACAUAAAUUAACUUAACUUCCAGGGACCAUUUUCUGGGAAAUGGUUGACAUGGCGGUUAUUCAUUGAUUUCUAUGUUUAUAACCCUUAUUUUUAAAUUGACAAAUGUAGUAAAAUGUUUUUUAUUUUGGGGAGCUUGGAACUGAUCAUUAUUGAGACAUAUUUCCUAGGAAAACCACAAUAAAAUGGCCGUUCUAGCCAUAGAUCCUACGGAAAAAAAUAAAUAUUAAA